AGAGCGAACGCUGGCGGCAGGCCUAACACAUGCAAGUCGAGCGCCCGUAGCAAUACGGGAGCGGCAGACGGGAUAGUAACACGCGGGAACGCGUCCUUCGGUUCGGAAUAACUCAGGGAAACUUGAGCUAAUACCGGAUACGCCCUUACGGGGAAAGAUUUAUUGCCGAAGGAACGGCCCGCGUCCGAUUAGCUAGUUGGUGAGGUAAUGGCUCACCAAGGCGACGAUCGGGUAGCUGGUCUGAGAGGAUGACCAGCAUCACUGGGACUGAGACACGGCCCAGACUCCUACGGGAGGCAGCAGUGGGGAAUAUUGGACAAUGGGCGCAAGCCUGAUCCAGCCAUGCCGCGUGGAUGAUGAGGCCUUAGGGUUGUAAAGUCCUUUUAACGGGGAAGAUAAUGACGGUACCCGUAGAAUAAGCCCGGCUAACUUCGUGCCAGCAGCCG
rnacentral:rRNA from 1 species